GACGAACGCUGGCGGCGUGCCUAACACAUGCAAGUCGAGCGAUGAAGUUCUUCGGAACGGAUUAGCGGCGGACGGGUGAGUAACGCGUGAGCAAUCUGCCUUACACAAAGGGAUAGCCUCGGGAAACUGGGAUUAAUACCAUAUGACACUUGGUAAUCGCAUGAGGACCAAGUCAAAGAUUUUAUCGGUGUAAGAUGAGCUCGCGUCUGAUUAGCUAGUUGGUGGGGUAAAGGCCUACCAAGGCGACGAUCAGUAGCCGGCCUGAGAGGGUGAACGGCCACACUGGAACUGAGACACGGUCCAGACUCCUACGGGAGGCAGCAGUGGGGAAUAUUGCGCAAUGGGGGGAACCCUGACGCAGCAACGCCGCGUGGAGGAAGAAGGUCUUCGGAUUGUAAACUCCUGUCUUCUGGGACGAAGUAUGACGGUACCAGAGGAGGAAGCCACGGCUAACUACGUG
rnacentral:rRNA from 1 species